rnacentral:rRNA from 1 species
AUUGAACGCUGGCGGCAGGCCUAACACAUGCAAGACGCACGAGUGGCGGACGGGUGAGUAAUGUCUGGGAAACUGCCUGAUGGAGGGGGAUAACUACUGGAAACGGUAGCUAAUACCGCAUACCAUCAGAUGUGCCCAGAUGGGAUUAGCUAGUUGGUGGGGUAACGUCGCACCAAGGCGCCGAUCCCUAGCUGGGCUGAGAGGUGGACCAGCCACCCGAGGACUGAGACACGGUCCAUACUCCUACGGGAGGCAGCAGUGGGGAAUAUUGGACCAUGGGCGCAAGCCUGAUGCAGCCAUGCCGCGUGUAUGAAGAAGGCCUUCGGGUUGUAAAGUACUUUCAGCGGGGAGGCGUUAUCCGCAGAAGAAGCACCGGCUAACUCCGUGCCAGCAGCCACGGUAAUUC